rnacentral:rRNA from 1 species
UACGUGGGGGGCGAGCGUUGUUCGGAAUUAUUGGGCGUAAAGGGUGCGUAGGCGGUUCCGCAAGUCCUGUGUGAAAUCUUCGGGCUCAACUCGAAGUCUGCACGGGAAACUGCGGGGCUUGAGUGUGGGAGAGGUGAGUGGAAUUCCCAGUGUAGAGGUGAAAUUCGUAGAUAUUGGGAAGAACACCGGUGGCGAAGGCGGCUCACUGGCUCAUUACUGACGCUCAUGCGCGACAGCGUGGGGAUCAAACAGG